rnacentral:tRNA from 1 species
CAUCUCCCUUACACCGAGAAGUUGUCCGUGCAAGUCGGACUGCUCUG